rnacentral:rRNA from 1 species
UACGUAGGGUGCAAGCGUUGUCCGGAAUUAUUGGGCGUAAAGAGCUCGUAGGCGGUCUGUUGCGUCGGCUGUGAAAACCCGGGGCUCAACUCCGGGCCUGCAGCCGAUACGGGCAGACUAGAGUUCGGCAGGGGAGACUGGAAUUCCUGGUGUAGCGGUGAAAUGCGCAGAUAUCAGGAGGAACACCAAUGGCGAAGGCAGCUCACUGGGACGGUAUUGACGCUGAGACGCGAAAGCGUGGGGAGCAAACAGG